UCUCAUCUUGAACUUAGCCAGUGGCUGCCACCAUCUUUCUAUUAUUAUCUUUGCUUGGCUAUGCACUAGGCAGGGCGCUAAGCACUUUGCAUGCGGCUAACUGAAUCCCCACUACAGCCCUAGGAGGUGGUGCCGUUAUUAGCUGCAUACGUCGUUUAGGGAAACUGACGCUCAGAGAGAUGAAGGGACUUGCACGAGGUGACACACAUCUACAGUGGUGGUAAAGCUUCAAGUAACCAAAUUAGGAUAUCUCCAGCUCAAGAGCCAUUGUACUGAACUACUCAGCUAGCAUUUGUCCAAAGUUGAAAAUAUAAAUUCCAGAAUGGACCCAUUGAAUCCAAA